GGCAGGCCUAACACAUGCAAGUCGAGCGGUAACACAGGGAGCUUGGCCCGGGGUGACGAGCGGCGGACGGGUGAGUAAUGUCUGGGAAAAUGCCCGAUGGAGGGGGAUAACUACUGGAAACGGUAGCUAAUACCGCAUAAUGUCGCAAGACCAAAGAGGGGGACUUUCGGGCCUCUUGCCAUCGGAUGUGCCCAGAUGGGAUUAGCUAGUAGGUGGGGUAACGGCUCACCUAGGCGACGAUCCCUAGCUGGUCUGAGAGGAUGACCAGCCACACUGGAACUGAGACACGGUCCAGACUCCUACGGGAGGCAGCAGUGGGGAAUAUUGCACAAUGGGCGCAAGCCUGAUGCAGCCAUGCCGCGUGUAUGAAGAAGGCCUUCGGGUUGUAAAGUACUUUCAGCGAGGAGGAAGGCAUUAAGGUUAAUAACCUUGGUGAUUGACGUUACUCGCAGAAGAAGCACCGGCUAACUCCGUGCCAGCAGCCGCGGUAAUACGGAGGGUGCAAGCGUUAAUCGGAAUUACUGGGCGUAAAGCGCACGCAGGCGGUCUGUCAAGUCGGAUGUGAAAUCCCCGGGCUCAACCUGGGAACUGCAUUCGAAACUGGCAGGCUAGAGUCUUGUAGAGGGGGGUAGAAUUCCAGGUGUAGCGGUGAAAUGCGUAGAGAUCUGGGAGGAAUACCGGUGGCGAAAGCGGCCCCCUGGGAAAAUGACUGACCCCUCAGGGUGCCAAAGCGUGGGGAGUAAAACAGGAUUAGGAUACCCUCGUUUCCCCCCCUUUUGCCCAAAUCCAUUUUGGAGUGUUGUUGUCCAUUUAGGAUAUG
rnacentral:rRNA from 1 species